ACAAUGAAGAGUUUGAUCCUGGCUCAGGAUGAACGCUAGCUACAGGCUUAACACAUGCAAGUCGAGGGGCAUCAGGAAGAAAGCUUGCUUUCUUUGCUGGCGACCGGCGCACGGGUGAGUAACACGUAUCCAACCUGCCCUUUACUCGGGGAUAGCCUUUCGAAAGAAAGAUUAAUACCCGAUAGCAUAAUGAUUCCGCAUGGUUUCAUUAUUAAAGGAUUCCGGUAAAGGAUGGGGAUGCGUUCCAUUAGGUUGUUGGUGAGGUAACGGCUCACCAAGCCUUCGAUGGAUAGGGGUUCUGAGAGGAAGGUCCCCCACAUUGGAACUGAGACACGGUCCAAACUCCUACGGGAGGCAGCAGUGAGGAAUAUUGGUCAAUGGGCGCUAGCCUGAACCAGCCAAGUAGCGUGAAGGAUGAAGGCUCUAUGGGUCGUAAACUUCUUUUAUAUAAGAAUAAAGUGCAGUAUGUAUACUGUUUUGUAUGUAUUAUAUGAAUAAGGAUCGGCUAACUCCGUGCCAGCAGCCGCGGUAAUACGGAGGAUCCGAGCGUUAUCCGGAUUUAUUGGGUUUAAAGGGAGCGUAGGUGGACUGGUAAGUCAGUUGUGAAAGUUUGCGGCUCAACCGUAAAAUUGCAGUUGAUACUGUCAGUCUUGAGUACAGUAGAGGUGGGCGGAAUUCGUGGUGUAGCGGUGAAAUGCUUAGAUAUCACGAAGAACUCCGAUUGCGAAGGCAGCUCACUGGACUGCAACUGACACUGAUGCUCGAAAGUGUGGGUAUCAAACAGGAUUAGAUACCCUGGUAGUCCACACAGUAAACGAUGAAUACUCGCUGUUUGCGAUAUACAGUAAGCGGCCAAGCGAAAGCAUUAAGUAUUCCACCUGGGGAGUACGCCGGCAACGGUGAAACUCAAAGGAAUUGACGGGGGCCCGCACAAGCGGAGGAACAUGUGGUUUAAUUCGAUGAUACGCGAGGAACCUUACCCGGGCUUAAAUUGCAGUGGAAUGAUGUGGAAACAUGUCAGUGAGCAAUCACCGCUGUGAAGGUGCUGCAUGGUUGUCGUCAGCUCGUGCCGUGAGGUGUCGGCUUAAGUGCCAUAACGAGCGCAACCCUUAUCUUUAGUUACUAACAGGUCAUGCUGAGGACUCUAGAGAGACUGCCGUCGUAAGAUGUGAGGAAGGUGGGGAUGACGUCAAAUCAGCACGGCCCUUACGUCCGGGGCUACACACGUGUUACAAUGGGGGGUACAGAAGGCAGCUAGCGGGUGACCGUAUGCUAAUCCCAAAAUCCUCUCUCAGUUCGGAUCGAAGUCUGCAACCCGACUUCGUGAAGCUGGAUUCGCUAGUAAUCGCGCAUCAGCCACGGCGCGGUGAAUACGUUCCCGGGCCUUGUACACACCGCCCGUCAAGCCAUGGGAGCCGGGGGUACCUGAAGUACGUAACCGCAAGGAUCGUCCUAGGGUAAAACUGGUGACUGGGGCUAAGUCGUAACAAGGUAGCCGUACCGGAAGGUGCGGCUGGAACACCUCCUUU
rnacentral:rRNA from 1 species